rnacentral:lncRNA from 1 species
UGUAUCUGGAAGCCCCUCACACCUGACUCUUUUUAACAGUUGUAGACUUUUCUGGAUCCUUCAUUGAAUGGCACAAGAUGUGACAAUAGCAAGCUUGUCCGCAAGGAUUCAUCUUUGCAUCCUCCUGUCUCUUCCUCCAAGGAGUUGCUUAGUGAAGUCUUGUUGCAGGUAUAGCCAAGGGCCACAUGAAGAAUCACAUGUCACCAGCAAGAACCUGAAGAAAAACAGAAAAUUAAGUCCUGCUGCCCUAACACCUACUCCCUGGUUUGACAUCCAGGGUAAGUCUGCUAAACAGAGCAUAUGUGUGUGCAGUUCCGUCAUGUCUGACUCUUUGUGACCUCAUGGACUGUAGCCCACCAGGCUCCUCUGUCUAUAGGAUUUUCCAGACAAGAAUACUGGAGCGGGUUGCGAUUUCCUUCUCCAGGGGAUCUUCCCAACCCAGGGGCUGAACUCACAACUCUUGCAUCUCUGGCAUUGGUAGGCAGGUUCUUUACCACUGGUGCCACCUGGGAAACCGAAAACCAAGUAAUUUGCCCCUAAAUGUCUCUAGUGACUUAUCAUGGCUCUUUUUGUCUGACGUGUUAACAGUAGCCUCAGUGAAAUGACAACAACAAAAAUUCUAUUCAGGACCUUGCCAUGGAAAUGCUCAUGGGUUGGAGUGGAGAGGUACAGAAUGGUCUGCUGUGAUGUACGAAAUCCUUGGUUUGGGGGACGUUAAGAGAGUCAAACCCUGAUGCUGGAGAAGUUGAUGGGCAGCACAGAACAGGAGGAAGGUUCUAUCAGAGAAGAGAAGGUGGAUCACCAUGACAACUCCUGAGUAAGGAGGGGUCACUGUGGGUAGACAGAUUCCACUCACAGGCUUCGUGAUUGUCUCGAAAGCUGGAGUUAGAUCUCACUUUCAACUGGAUGGAUCAAAAGGACAAUGAGAAUUCUAGCAACAGGUAGAGGGAAGGAAGAGGAAGAGCACUGUGAUGGUUGUUGCCCUUGAGGGCACUGCGCUAAGUGAAAUAAGUCAGACAGAAGAAGAUCACUACCAUAUGAUCUUGCUUGUAUGUGGAAUCUGAAAAAGCCAAACUCACGGGAAACAGAGGACAGGUUGGUGGUUGCCAGCCUUGGGGGUGAGGGGUGGGAGAAAUGAAUGAAGGUGGUCAGAAGUUACAGACUUCCAGUUACAAGAUAAAUAAAUCCUGGAGAUGUUGUAUACA